CUAGCGCGGUGGUCCCACCUGACCCCAUGCCGAACUCAGAAGUGAAACGCCGUAGCGCCGAUGGUAGUGUGGGGUUUCCCCAUGCGAGAGUAGGGAACUGCCAGGC
rnacentral:rRNA from 1 species